AAAGGAAUAGACGGGGGCCCGCACAAGCAGUGGAGUAUGUGGUUUAAUUCGAAGCAACGCGAAGAACCUUACCAGGGCUUGACAUACUAGGGGAUACACUAGAGAUAGUGUAGCUCUUCGGAGCUCUAGUACAGGUGGUGCAUGGUUGUCGUCAGCUCGUGUCGUGAGAUGUUGGGUUAAGUCCCGCAACGAGCGCAACCCCUGUUGUUAGUUGCCAUCAAGUAAAGUUGGGCACUCUAGCAAGACUGCCGGUGACAAAUCGGAGGAAGGUGGGGACGACGUCAAAUCAUCAUGCCCCUUAUGUCCUGGGCAACACACGUACUACAAUGGCUAUAACAGAGGGAAGCAAAGCCGCAAGGUGGAGCAAAUCCCCAAAAAUAGUCCCAGUUCGGAUUGUGGGCUGCAACUCGCCCACAUGAAGUCGGAAUUGCUAGUAAUGGCAGGUCAGCAUACUGCCGUGAAUACGUUCCCGGGCCUUGUACACACCGCCCGU
rnacentral:rRNA from 1 species